GGCUUGAUCCCCUAUAUAAAGGGGUACGUAGGCACAUCAAGGGGAUAUAUCGAGAGUUGUGAGAACGAGAGCAGAAAUAUAUUCCCUUGAUCUCAGCCACCCUCAAACACCUAAAACCACCAUCCACGGCGGAUCUCCGUCAUAUAAUCACCGUAAAAACACCUAAGUCCGUCAACGAACCUCACGUUUGUUGAUUCACCAAAUUCCUCUAUCAACAAAUUGGCGCUAGAAGGAGGGGAACCAGGUGAAAUCUCAAAGAGGAAGAGAUGGC
rnacentral:lncRNA from 1 species